rnacentral:rRNA from 1 species
UGGAGAGUUUGAUCCUGGCUCAGAUUGAACGCUGGCGGCAGGCCUAACACAUGCAAGUCGAGCGGCAGCGACAACAUUGACCCUUCGGGGGAUUUGUUGGGCGGCGAGCGGCGGACGGGUGAGUAAUGCCUGGGAACAUGCCUUAGUGUGGGGGAUAACCAUUGGAAACGAUGGCUAAUACCGCAUAAUCUCUACGGAGCAAAGAGGGGGACCUUCGGGCCUCUCGCGCUAAGAUUGGCCCAGGUGGGAUUAGCURGUAGGUGGGGUAACGGCUCACCUAGGCGACGAUCCCUAGCUGGUCUGAGAGGAUGAUCAGCCACACUGGAACUGAGACACGGUCCAGACUCCUACGGGAGGCAGCAGUGGGGAAUAUUGCACAAUGGGGGAAACCCUGAUGCAGCCAUGCCGCGUGUGUGAAGAAGGCCUUCGGGUUGUAAAGCACUUUCAGCAGUGAGGAAGGCGGUAYCGUUAAUAGCGGUAUCGUUUGACGUUAGCUGCAGAAGAAGCACCGGCUAACUCCGUGCCAGCAGCCGCGGUAAU